AGCGAACGUUUGCGGCGGGCUUAACACAUGCAAGUCGAACGGGCUGUUCCUUCGGGGGCAGUCAGUGGCGCACGGGUGCGUAACACGUAGGUAAUCAACCCUCUGGUUGGGGAUAACACUUCGAAAGGAGUGCUAAUACCCCGGGUAUGGCGCAGCGGUCUUCGGGAUCGCGGCGAGAAAGACCCGCAAGGGUUGCCAGAGGACGAGCCUGCGGCCCAUCAGCUAGUUGGCGAGGUAACGGCUCACCAAGGCGAAGACGGGUAGCUGGUCUGAGAGGAUGAUCAGCCACACUGGAACUGAGACACGGUCCAGACUCCUACGGGAGGCAGCAGUGGGGAAUAUUGCGCAAUGGGCGAAAGCCUGACGCAGCCACGCCGCGUGAGCGAUGAAGGCCUUCGGGUCGUAAAGCUCUGUGGGGAGAGAAGAAUAAAGCCUGUGAAGAGCAGGCCUUGACGGUAUCUCCUUAGCAAGCACCGGCUAACUCCGUG
rnacentral:rRNA from 1 species